UACGUAGGGGGCGAGCGUUGUCCGGAAUUAUUGGGCGUAAAGAGCGUGUAGGCGGUUCGGUAAGUCUGCCGUGAAAACUCGAGGCUCAACCUCGAGCUGUCGGUGGAAACUGUCUGGCUAGAGUCCGGAAGAGGAGAGUGGAAUUCCUGGUGUAGCGGUGAAAUGCGCAGAUAUCAGGAAGAACACCCGUGGCUAAGGCGGCUCUCUAGUACGGUACUGACGCUGAGACGCGAAAGCGUGGGGAGCAAACAGG
rnacentral:rRNA from 1 species